CUUGGUGAAUACGAUUUAUUCUCUUUCACUCGAACGCUUUCUCUCCAGGCAGGCAACAGUGGGACUUUGCGAUUCCUCGUCACCUUGGUACAGAGGCUCUCUAACCUUUUCUCACUGGAUUUUUCUGGUCCGUUUUCAGGUUGGAGGGUGAGGGUGACAGAAGCUGGGAAAUGAAAGAUGGGAUUGUUUUCUUGUCAUCCUGUAUCCCUGCCACCUGGCGAUGGUGUUUCUGGAGAGUUACCUGGAACUUGAUGGAUCUGUACAGAGGAGAAGACUGAGUUGGGGCAUCGGCAAAGACAGUGUUUCUCCAUGCUCCCGUUAUUCUUCCAGAGCUGUCAGGAGUGGAAAUCAUUUCACCUUUGCACUUAGAAUAAAGCAACUCGGCAUUAACAGUAAAUUGGCUUCGGCAUACUCUUAGGUAAGCAAGUGCUUCUGCCGGCCGAGUCCAGUUUUCUAGUCUGCAGGUCAGGGAGCAGGUUUGCGUAAUCGUGGGGAAGGUGAAUGUAGAGGAGGCGGGAGAGGCAGUCAGGAGAGAUUCAGAGAAAUUACAACGGAAACGAGAAAUGUUAUGAACCAGAUGCCGAAAAAGUCCCAGUGGCAAGAAUCAGAAGAGGGCACAAAGGUGUGCUUUUAUUUAAAAACUACAUGAGAAACAGACUUAUUGGAAGAAAUGCCUUUUUUUUAUUACAUCCUCUUAACAACCAAGCUAGUAAUCUAGCUCAAGUUGGCAAUAUGGCCCGCUAAAAGUCCUUGGGGGACAUGCACUAAUGGGCAGAUGAGAGUGACUUGUUGACACCUUCAUUGUUUUCAUCCUACACUGGACAUCAGUCGUUUGGCCCAUUUUUCAGAGACCCACUUGAACUGUCUGAACCUAUGAACUUCCCGAAAGUCUGGCCACCAAACUGCAUUAGGAGAGUCAUGGCUGCACAACCGAAGGGCAUUCAUUUUAUUCCCUGCCUUGGUGCAAGGGUCUCCCCAAACCAAGAUGGACACAUGUACUUCCUUUCAAGAGGCCACAAACAAGAACAUUUCAUUCCAUUCUGAGAUAAUGAUCCUAAUUGGUUAAAAUCACUUCAGAAUUUGCUUGUCUUCUUAUUAGUACAGAGACCAGAGUGGAGCUUUAUUAAGAAAAAUGUGAUUUUGAUACCCCAUUCUCCAUGAUGUGCUUAUUUCACAUUGCAUGCCUAUAUCAAAACAUUGCAUGUACCCCAUAAAUGUAUACACCUACUAUGUACCCACAAAAAUGAAAAAUAAAAAAUAGAGAAUAAGCUACAAAAAUU
rnacentral:lncRNA from 10 species